GGGGAAUAUUGGACAAUGGGCGAAAGCCUGAUCCAGCCAUGCCGCGUGAGUGAUGAAGGCCCUAGGGUUGUAAAGCUCUUUCAGUGGGGAAGAUAAUGACGGUACCCACAGAAGAAGCCCCGGCUAACUUCGUGCCAGCAGCCGCGGUAAUACGAAGGGGGCUAGCGUUGUUCGGAAUUACUGGGCGUAAAGCGCGCGUAGGCGGACUUUUAAGUCAGGGGUGAAAUCCCGAGGCUCAACCUCGGAACAGCCUUUGAGACUGGAGGUCUCGAGUCCGAGAGAGGUGAGUGGAAUUCCGAGUGUAGAGGUGAAAUUCGUAGAUAUUCGGAGGAACACCAGUGGCGAAGGCGGCUCACUGGCUCGGUACUGACGCUGAGGUGCGAAAGCGUGGGGAGCAAAC
rnacentral:rRNA from 1 species